rnacentral:rRNA from 1 species
UGGGGAUCUGCCCGAUAGAGGGGGAUAACCACUGGAAACGGUGGCUAAUACCGCAUAGCGUCGCAAGACCAAAGAGGGGGACCUUCGGGCCUCUCACUAUCGGAUGAACCCAGAUGGGAUUAGCUAGUAGGCGGGGUAAUGGCCCACCUAGGCGACGAUCCCUAGCUGGUCUGAGAGGAUGACCAGCCACACUGGAACUGAGACACGGUCCAGACUCCUACGGGAGGCAGCAGUGGGGAAUAUUGCACAGAUGGGCGCAAG